UGUGGGAGGGGGCUUGCUCCCGAUGACAGUCUUUCAGUCACAUCAUCUACAACUGACACACUGCUAUCGGGAGCAAGCCCCCUCCCACA
rnacentral:antisense_RNA from 2 species